rnacentral:rRNA from 1 species
GGGCAUGCGCAGCUACCAUGCAGUCGAGCGGUAACAGGGGUAGCUUGCUACCCGCUGACGAGCGGCGGACGGGUGAGUAAUGCAUAGGAAUCUGCCCGAUAGUGGGGGAUAACCUGGGGAAACCCAGGCUAAUACCGCAUACGUCCUACGGGAGAAAGGGGGCUCCGGCUCCCGCUAUUGGAUGAGCCUAUGUCGGAUUAGCUAGUUGGUAAGGUAAUGGCUUACCAAGGCAACGAUCCGUAGCUGGUCUGAGAGGAUGAUCAGCCACAUCGGGACUGAGACACGGCCCGAACUCCUACGGGAGGCAGCAGUGGGGAAUAUUGGACAAUGGGGGCAACCCUGAUCCAGCCAUGCCGCGUGUGUGAAGAAGGCCCUCGGGUUGUAAAGCACUUUCAGCGAGGAAGAACGCCUAUCGGUUAAUACCCGGUAGGAAAGACAUCACUCGCAGAAGAAGCACCGGCUAACUCCGUGCCAGCAGCCGCGGUAAUACGGAGGGUGCAAGCGUUAAUCGGAAUUACUGGGCGUAAAGCGCGCGUAGGUGGCUUGAUAAGCCGGUUGUGAAAGCCCCGGGCUCAACCUGGGAACGGCAUCCGGAACUGUCAGGCUAGAGUGCAGGAGAGGAAGGUAGAAUUCCCGGUGUAGCGGUGAAAUGCGUAGAGAUCGGGAGGAAUACCAGUGGCGAAGGCGGCCUUCUGGACUGACACUGACACUGAGGUGCGAAAGCGUGGGUAGCAAACAGGAUUAGAUACCCUGGUAGUCCACGCCGUAAACGAUGUCGACCAGCCGUUGGGUGCCUAGAGCACUUUGUGGCGAAGUUAACGCGAUAAGUCGACCGCCUGGGGAGUACGGCCGCAAGGUUAAAACUCAAAUGAAUUGACGGGGCCCGCACAAGCGGUGGAGCAUGUGGUUUAAUUCGAUGCAACGCGAAGAACCUUACCUACUCUUGACAUCUACAGAAGCCGGAAGAAGAUUCUGGUGUGCCUUCGGGAACUUGUAGACAGUGCUGCAUGCUGAUCGUCAGCCUCGUGUUUGUGAAAUGUUGGAUAAGUU